UGAUCCUGGCUCAGAUUGAAUUCUAGCGGGAUGCCUUACACAUACAGAGUUUGAUCCUGGCUCAGAGCGAACGCUGGCGGCAGGCGUAACACAUGCAAGUCGAACGGACCCUUCGGGGUUAGUGGCGGACGGGUGAGUAACACGUGGGAACGUGCCUUUAGGUUCGGAAUAGCUCCNGGAAACGGGUGGUAAUGCCGAAUGUGCCCUUCGGGGGAAAGAUUUAUCGCCUUUAGAGCGGCCCGCGUCUGAUUAGCUAGUUGGUGAGGUAAUGGCUCACCAAGGCGACGAUCAGUAGCUGGUCUGAGAGGAUGACCAGCCACACUGGGACUGAGACACGGCCCAGACUCCUACGGGAGGCAGCAGUGGGGAAUCUUGCGCAAUGGGCGAAAGCCUGACGCAGCCAUGCCGCGUGAAUGAUGAAGGUCUUAGGAUUGUAAAAUUCUUCACCGGGGACGAUAAUGACGUA
rnacentral:rRNA from 1 species